rnacentral:rRNA from 1 species
GUGAGGAAUUUUCCGCAAUGGGCGAAAGCCUGACGGAGCAAUGCCGCGUGAAGGAUGAAGGCCUAUGGGUUGUAAACUUCUUUUCUCAGAAAAGAAUUAUGACGGUAUCUGAGGAAUAAGCAUCGGCUAACUCUGUGCCAGCAGCCGCGGUAAGACAGAGGAUGCAAGCGUUAUCCGGAAUGAUUGGGCGUAAAGCGUCUGUAGGUUGUUUAAAAAGUAUUCUGUCAAAGAUUAGGGCUUAACCCUAGAUAGGCAGAAUAAACUUUUAAGCUAGAGUUUGGUAGAGGCAGAGGUAAUUCCCGGUGGAGCGGUGAAAUGCGUAGAUAUCGGGAGGAACACCAAAGGCGAAGGCACUCUGCUGGGCCAAUACUAACACUGAGAGACGAAAGCGAGGGGAGCAAAUGGGAUUAGAAACCCUAGUAGUCC